AUUCUACUCCCUCCAUUGCACAAUACAUGCCUUCUAUUUGUCAAAAUAUAUAUGUAUCUAGACAUGUUUUAGUAUAUAGGUACAUCCAUUUUUGGACAAAUGGAAGUCAAGUAUUUUGGAACGGAGGGAGUACAAA
rnacentral:pre_miRNA from 1 species